CAGCACCCCCAGGGCACCCAGAGAGAGAGAGACAGCACCCCCGGGGCACCCAGAGAGAGAGAGACAGCACCCCCGGGACACCCAGAGAGAGAGAGAGAGAGACAGCACCCCCAGGGCACCCAGAGAGAGAGAGACAGCACCCCCGGGGCACCCAGAGAGAGAGAGAGACAGCACCCCCAGGGCACCCAGAGAAAGAGAGAGACAGCACCCCCAGGGCACCCAGAGAGAGAUAGCACCCCCAGGCACCCAGAGAGAGAGAGAGAGAGCACCCCCCCUGGGCACCCCAGAGAGAGAGAGAGAGAGAGACCCCCGAGGCACUCAGAGAGACAGUACCCAUAGGGCACCCAGAAAGAGAGAGAGACGGCAUCCAUAGGACACCCAAAGAGAGCACCCAUGGGGCACCCAGACACAGCACCCAGAGGGCAGUAACAGGGUGUCUAGAACAGCACCCAGAGAGAGCAACCACAGGGUACCCAGAGAUAGCACCCACAGGGUACCUAGGACAGCACUCACAGGGUACCCAGAGAUACCCCCACAGGACACACAGAGACAGCACCCACAGGGCACUAACAGGUACCUAGAACAGCAUCCACGGGGCACCCAGAGAUAGCACCCACAGGGCACCCAGAUACAACACCCAUAGGACACCCAGAAACCACACCCACUGGAUAGAGCAUCCAAAAUUGAACCCACAAAGCACAUAAAACAGCACCCAGAGGGAUGAAGACAAAAACUGUUGGAGAUUACAGCAGCCACGUGCGCAGCUCCUCUGAGGAACAAGGAAGUGUCUAACCUCUGUGUUUCUGGAUGAUCUGUGCCCAGCCAUAUAAAGAAAGUAAAGAAUGAUGUCUUAAAGGACCAGACUGAUUGUGAGGGCUUAUUGAUCGAUCAUGGAACAGAGAGACCCCAUAGGGGUCCAGAUCUUCAUCUGGUGCCAUGACUUGGUAUGGAUGGAUUGUGGGCAGCGAUGAGAGACGUGAGUCCUCCACAUUGAGUGUCGCGGAAUCGGCCAGCCAGAUCUCCUCUGAGGAACAUGGAAGCUUAUAACCUGUGUUUCCGGAUGCUGUGUAGCCGGCAGCAUGAAGAAAUAAGGAAUGACGUCUUAAAGAACCA